UACGUAGGGUGCGAGCGUUGUCCGGAAUUAUUGGGCGUAAAGAGCUCGUAGGCGGUCUGUCGCGUCGGAUGUGAAAGCCCGGGGCUUAACUCCGGGUCUGCAUUCGAUACGGGCAUGCUGGAGUGCGGCAGGGGAGACUGGAAUUCCUGGUGUAGCGGUGGAAUGCGCAGAUAUCAGGAGGAACACCGGUGGCGAAGGCGGGUCUCUGGGCCGUUACUGACGCUGAGGAGCGAAAGCGUGGGGAGCGAACAGG
rnacentral:rRNA from 1 species